UACAGAGGGUGCGAGCGUUAAUCGGAAUUACUGGGCGUAAAGCGUGCGUAGACGGUUAUUUAAGUCGGGUGUGAAAGCCCCGGGCUCAACCUGGGAAUUGCAUUCGAGACUGAAUAGCUAGGGUACGGUAGAGGGAAGUGGAAUUUCCGGUGUAGCGGUGAAAUGCGUAGAGAUCGGAAGGAACGCCAGUGGUGAAGACGACUACCUGGACCAAUACUGACACUGAGGCGCGAGAGCGUGGGGAGCAAACAGG
rnacentral:rRNA from 1 species